UACAGCGGGAAGCCAUAUGGCGACAUAGAGCGGAACCCGAAAGCCUGUCUCAGUUCGGAUUGGAGUCUGCAACCCGACUCCAUGAAGCUGGAUUCGCUAGUAAUCGCGCAUCAGCCACAGCGCGGUGAAUACGUUCCCGGGCCUUGUACACACCGCCCGUCAAGCCAUGGGAGCCGGGGGUACCUGAAGUGCGUGACCGCAAGGAGCGCCCUAAGGUAAAACCGGUGACUGGGGCUAAGUCGUAACAAGGUACC
rnacentral:rRNA from 1 species